rnacentral:rRNA from 1 species
UACGAAGGGGGCUAGCGUUGCUCGGAAUUACUGGGCGUAAAGGGCGCGUAGGCGGAUGUUUAAGUCAGAGGUGAAAGCCCAGGGCUCAACCUUGGAACUGCCUUUGAUACUGGACAUCUUGAGUGUGGGAGAGGUGAGUGGAACUCCGAGUGUAGAGGUGAAAUUCGUAGAUAUUCGGAAGAACACCAGUGGCGAAGGCGACUCACUGGACACGUAUUGACGCUGAGGUGCGAAAGCGUGGGGAGCAAACAGG